rnacentral:rRNA from 1 species
GAGUUUGAUCUUGGCUCAGAUUGAACGCUGGCGGCAGGCCUAACACAUGCAAGUCGAGCGGUAGAGAGAAGCUUGCUUCUCUUGAGAGCGGCGGACGGGUGAGUAAUGCCUAGGAAUCUGCCUGGUAGUGGGGGAUAACGCUCGGAAACGGACGCUAAUACCGCAUACGUCCUACGGGAGAAAGCAGGGGACCUUCGGGCCUUGCGCUAUCAGAUGAGCCUAGGUCGGAUUAGCUAGUUGGUGAGGUAAUGGCUCACCAAGGCGACGAUCCGUAACUGGUCUGAGAGGAUGAUCAGUCACACUGGAACUGAGACACGGUCCAGACUCCUACGGGAGGCAGCAGUGGGGAAUAUUGGACAAUGGGCGAAAGCCUGAUCCAGCCAUGCCGUGUGUGUGAAGAAGGUCUUCGGAUUGUAAAGCACUUUAAGUUGGGAGAAGGGCAGUAAAUUAAUACUUUGCUGUUUUGACGUUACCGACAGAAUAAGCACCGGCUAACUCUGUGCCAGCCGCCG